AUUGAACGCUGGCGGCAGGCCUAACACAUGCAAGUCGAGCGGAUGAAGGGAGCUUGCUCCUGGAUUCAGCGGCGGACGGGUGAGUAAUGCCUAGGAAUCUGCCUGGUCGUGGGGGAUAACGUCCGUAAACGGGCGCUAAUACCGCAUACGUCCUGAGGGAGAAAGUGGGGGAUCUUCGGACCUCACGCUAUCAGAUGAGCCUAGGUCGGAUUAGCUAGUUGGUGGGGUAAAGGCCUACCAAGGCGACGAUCCGUAACUGGUCUGAGAGGAUGAUCAGUCACACUGGAACUGAGACACGGUCCAGACUCCUACGGGAGGCAGCAGUGGGGAAUAUUGGACAAUGGGCGAAAGCCUGAUGCAGCCAUGCCGCGUGUGUGAAGAAGGUCUUCGGAUUGUAAAGCACUUUAAGUUGGGAGGAAGGGAAGUAAGUUAAUACCUUGCUGUCUUGACGUUACCAACAGAAUAAGCACCGGCUAACUUCGUG
rnacentral:rRNA from 1 species